rnacentral:rRNA from 1 species
AAUGGUUCAUUCAAAUUUCUGCCCUAUCAACUUUCGAUGGUAGGAUAGUGGCCUACAUGGUAUCAACGGGUAACGGGGAAUUAGGGUUCUAUUCCUGGAGAGGGAGCUUGAGAAACUGGUUACCACAUCCAAGGGAAGGCAGCAAGGCGCGCAAAUUACCCAAUCCCGACACGGGAGGUAGUGACCAAUAAAUACUGAUACAGGGCUCUUUUGGGUCUUGUAAUUGGGAAUGAGGUACAAUUUAAAUCCCUUAACGAGGAACAAUUGGAGGGCAAGUCUGGUGCCAGCAGCCCGG